rnacentral:rRNA from 1 species
GAUGAACGCUAGCUACAGGCUUAACACAUGCAAGUCGCGGGGCAGCAUGGGGGUUGCUUGCAAUCCCCGAUGGCGACCGGCGCACGGGUGAGUAACGCGUAUCCAACCUGCCCUUCACCACGGGAUAACCCGGCGAAAGUCGGACUAAUACCGUAUGUUGUCCAUUGACGGCAUCCGAUUUGGACGAAAGGUUUGGCGGUGAAGGAUGGGGAUGCGUCCGAUUAGCUGGACGGCGGGGUGACGGCCCACCGUGGCGACGAUCGGUAGGGGUUCUGAGAGGAAGGUCCCCCACACUGGAACUGAGACACGGUCCAGACUCCUACGGGAGGCAGCAGUGAGGAAUAUUGGUCAAUGGGCGUAAGCCUGAACCAGCCAAGUAGCGUGCAGGAUGACGGCCCUAUGGGUUGUAAACUGCUUCUAUGCGGGGAUAAAGUGGCCCACGUGUGGGUUUUUGCAGGUACCGCAUGAAUAAGGACCGGCUAAUUCCGUG